rnacentral:rRNA from 1 species
UACGCAGGGGGCUAGCGUUGCUCGGAAUCACUGGGCGUAAAGCGCACGUAGGCGGCUUUUUAAGUCAGGGGUGAAAUCCUGGAGCUCAACUCCAGAACUGCCUUUGAUACUGAGAAGCUUGAGUCCGGGAGAGGUGGGUGGAACUGCGAGUGUAGAGGUGAAAUUCGUAGAUAUUCGCAAGAACACCAGUGGCGAAGGCGGCUCACUGGCCCGGUACUGACGCUGAGGUGCGAAAGCGUGGGGAGCAAACAGG